rnacentral:lncRNA from 1 species
GCUUAACUUUUCAGCUUUCACCGAUUUUAAGCUCAGUUAAGCUCAGUUAUUGUGGGAUGUAUAACAGAAGUUCAAAUAUCAAUCAAGGAUCAGGUUUAUUGUUUGUAUGUCUAAGGACUUGAUGAACUGCUUUGCUGUUUCCUUGUUUGUUUUGAUGAAAAUGUUGUUUAGUAGAUUUUUGAAUAUUACAUUUUAGAACUUAAUUUCUUCACUGUGCUUCAGUUAUGGUGAUGAAAAAGUUUUCUGAUUAUUUGGGAAAAGCAUGGCUUGAAGCUAUCCAACAGUGAAUGUACCCUGUUAAUGGGUAUUAGUUUGGGAUUCAACCCCCACAAAAAUGAGUAUGUUUGCUUGCGUGUGUGUGGUUCAGAAAGCGAGAGAGUACAUAUCUAAUAACCAUCAAGUUUUGAGUGCUUUGAACAGAGGAUAUCAUUACUAAUAAACAUCAAGUUUUAAUUGCUUUGAACACAGGAUAAUUAUAUAUGGUAUUUGAAUGCUUGGUUUACUGGAAGUGUACAUGCAUAUGGUUUUCUGUAAUUUAGUUUGUAGAGGCACUAUUCUUCCCCAUUAGCUGUCACCAAUAAUUCAUGAUAUACUAAAACCUUCAUGCAAAAACUAAACUUAUUGUUUGGAAACAAACAUAACCAUUGCAUGCAUACGUUAUUCGUUUCAGUCAAGUCUAACUUCUUGUUGAUUUACUAAUCGCCUCGGCAACUCAAGAAACUGCUCUUGCUUCCACCACAGUUAGGUCUAUUUCCAUCACCUUGACCGACCUGGAUGUGCUUGAUUGUCCUAUUUGCUAUGAAUCCUUGACCAUCCCCGUCUUUCAGUGCUCUGGUUUGGGGGUCUAGCGCAAAACACAAGCCCUAAAGAGUUGGAAAGGAGCAUCUGCUCGAAGAUGAGGAUAUUGUUUAGAUUAUCAAAAAGGUGUGAUUUGGCAGGAACUCAGAAAUAUGUGCAACCUUAGCAUCAAGAUAUCGUUUGUAGGACUAAAGCUUUUGAGACACACAAGCUUGUACUUUGCAGAGUAUACAACACUCUUUUUGUCUGUUCUUUUAGUCGUAAGGGUAGGUAAUGUUUAAGGCAGCUUGUUAAGUGAUAUCAAGGAAUCUUACUGCACCUUUUUGUUAUCAAAGCUAUUCUUGGUACGUAGUGUGUUCUUUGUGAAUGAAUAUCAUCUACUAUGAGAUUGAAAGAUUGCGCAUAUACGAAAGGAACUUGAUGCUAUAAAAUGUUUUCUGUGCCAGAUAUAUAAGGAAGCUAAGAAGUUUGCUUAUUAGAAUGGAGCAAAGGUGGUUGCUGUUUAUGGUGGAGCGCCAAUGGGUCAGCAGGUUUGUGUCUCUGCAGGCUCACUGGCCAUUCUGUUUUCUGUGACCACUUCUAUGAUUCGGGUGAUUCCAUUCAUGAUCAGAUUGUGAAACUGGUACAGCAGUACACCUAGCUAGUUCCUUUAUUAACUUGU